UCCUGUCUACAUCUCUCUCCCUCUCCCUCUCUCUCUCUCUCUCUCUCUCAGGUUUUUAAUCUGUACCUUCCCACACAAGUCCCUUGGAAUGUCCAGACACUGCCACGACCAAGGAUUCCACGGGUCACCAUGGAGACCAAGGAUUCCUGAGGUCGAGGGCAGGGCAGUCCCAGCCCCCUGAAACAUGAAGAAAAAGGGGCCCGAGAAAAAACAACACAGAGGAGAGAAUCUGUUCCAACAUGCAGAGCGAGAGAAAAACAGGGUCGACACAAACACACGAUUCUCCUCAAACACGAUGGCUGAGCUUUGGCUCCUGGCCUCACCAGAGACGCAUCAUGUUGACGGGUUUAUUCCCCUGGCGGCCAGUGAUUCUGAGCGCAACACCGUAGUGCUGCGUGUCACAGUCCAAACCUCGAUCCACAAGUCUGCCAGAUGCAUCACAGUGACCGUUUUAUUUACCUAACUUAUUCACAGGAACUGACUGUACAGGGACACCACUAUUACUCUCUGAGAAAUACAGCGAAGUAGAAAACCCCACCCUGUUGUCUUAUCCAAACGAGAUAACAUACCGCACAUUACUGAGGAAAACAGUUGACCAGAAGAAAAUGUUGAAAAUGAAAACGUUGUGGUGUGUGUUCUCCUCAAAACCACAUACUAUGUUAAAGUUUGCCAAAUUGUUCUGUUAAGGAAGUUUGUUUUUAUUGUUGUGCGUAUGGUGUGUGGUCUGAGGUAACAUCUAGAAUGGUGUGUUGGUAUAUGCUGUCUAUGCAGGUGUUAUUGUAUGGUAUAAUAUGUCCGUGUGAUGUAUCUGUAUGCCUAAUGUUUUUAGUUACAUUUGCUCUGCUUGUAAAAUUGAAUUAUUGAACCUCACAUGACAGAUUUAUUGAAUGUUGUGAAAACCAAGA